rnacentral:lncRNA from 1 species
CGCCUGCAAUUAAAAAUUUAUUAAUAUCACUUUGUAACCAAAAAAAAAAAGAAUAGUUAACAAGCAAAAUUACAUCCUGAUGUACAUAAUUUAGAAGGACUAAAGAACAAAUCAAGAAGGUUUUCAUAUGACAGCACCAGAGCUGAUUAAACAAUUAGGUUGUGUUCACUUCAUGUAAUGGAAUGAGGGGAGAAUGGAAUGAAACUAUAUGAACAAGUUUUAUGAAGAUUGGAGAAAGUUUGAGGCAAUAAUGAUUAAAUAUGAGUGAGUUAAAAAUUUUCAUGAAGAAGAUGAUAGGAAAAGAUGAUGAACAAAUGGAAUCAACAUUCCCUAUAUGAACAAGUUUUAUGAAGAUUGGAGAAAGUUUGAGGCAAUAAUGAUUAAAUAUGAGUGAGUUAAAAAUUUUCAUGAAGAAGAUGAUAGGAAAAGAUGAUGAACAAAUGGAAUCAACAUUCCUUUCAAAACAUGUAGGUUAGAUUUUUAGUUAAAAUAGUUAGAAUGGAAUGAUUGAAGGAAUGAAAAUUAUAAACAAUUUCACUAAUCACUCACAAUUUAUAAUACAAAUUUCAUUCCAUUCUCCCCUCAUUCCAUUCCAUGAAGUGAACACAACCUCAAUAUCUGUCUUCAAUUCUUUAUGACGAGGUCAUCUUGGCAGUUUUUACUACCAAAACCAAUAACAGCAACCUUGCACCAAUGUACUACAUUAUAUGCAACAAAGCACCCUCUUAGGCUCUAACGCAUAGUGCUAUACUACAAGAUAGUAUAUUAUCCCAAAACUAUUCUACAAUUCUCCCAAGGAAAAGCCUAAGAGUUGCAUAAGUUAAUGCAGUCAAACUUAAUAUGAGAUAUUCAUUAAACCAGUACGGAUGCAAUGAUUCAUCAUGGGACCACACUAUGCGUAUAGUUCCACAUAUCUUGGUGAUCUACUCGGGUCUUCAAGAUAAUAACUACGGCAAAACCUCCACACAUUACCAGAGGCCCUAAAUUAAUAUAUAAUACCAUAUAUCUAUUAUCUCAGGACUGGAACAAACUAUUAAUUUAUCAAGGUUCUGCUGCGUAACUUAUAAGUCCUUUCAUAAGUCAAGCAGGCAUCAUCCAAAAGAUAGCUAGCUUUAAUUGAUGUGGGUAAAAAUAACUGACUAUGAGUUCUGCUGAAACAAAAGCCUAUUUCCAGAAGUCUCUGACAGGUACUCUCAGAUAGGGAUUCAUAAGUUUAUAUCAUCUGGAUUACAGUAUAUAAUAUAGUAAAACGAUUUAUUCAGGCAGGCAGGCAUUGAAUAUUUUCCAUAAUUUCAUUCAGAAUGUCCACUUUCAGAUAUAACAAUGCAGAACACCCAAGGCAUUAAGAUCAUUCCAACAAAUGGAAGAAUAUAGUCCAUAAAGUCAGAUAUGAGGCAAGAGGUUAAUACCAAGAACUCUUUCAAGAGCUCCAAAUUUCUCAACGUCCAUAAAGUAGAUUGAAUCUCAAACAGAAUAAUAAGAUGGUAAAAGCACAAUUAUGAAAAUAUUGACCAAUACAGAUACUAAGCUGCAAAUCCAGUAAUAAGUGUACAGAAUCUCAACAACUAUCCACUAUCCACUAACAUAUGUAAAGGAUGAAGUAUACUGUAGCUGAAAAAGUAUAUGCAAAAAACAAAUUUUGUUUAAAUGUUAUAUUAGGGUCAAUUGCAGAUAUUUCUCAUUAUUUGCACGCAAAUGCCUCUGCUAAGACUUGAACCAUCAACUGCCCUUCAAAGAAGAGGGGCAUCUACAAGGCUACAAAGCUAGGGAUUGCAUAAAGAUAUUUAGUAGAGGUAAAAACAAAAUGUAUUAUUUAAUAGACAUUCCUCGAGUGUUUUAAACCCAACAUGCAACUUCAUAUUAUUUCUUAAAUCAAACAAUGAGCCUACAAGAAACAUAAGGAAAACCUAAUAGCAAAAUCGCGUAUGAAUCACUUUGUGUCCAGUCCUAUUAUUUAUCACCUAGCCCUUAUUCCUUACAUAAAACUUCUCUGCAGUUGCACUUCCAGUGCCUUUUUUGGGCACAUUAACAUACUAGCAUGUAACUUGAGCUAACAGAGCCUAAUAUUGGCAGAUCUCAUUCUAUAUAUGCAUAGAGAUAUUCAAUCAAAUUAUUCAGAAGCAAAUUGUUGAUUUGAGUUUGAAAUUGCUCACAGCACAAGGAUGCCAUAGCAUUUAAGCAGACUCAAUAUCCUAGAUAUCAAAAACAUACCAAAACCAUGAAGUCAUGUUUUGCAAUGGUGACAUAUUCACCCAAAAAUCAUGACAACUCUAUAUUUAGGAUGCAGAGUGUGUGUGUGUGUGUGUGUGUGUUUG